AGCUCAUCCCUGUAAUGGAACCAGGAAUGGACUUGGCUCCCUGACCUGCUGCCAACGUGUCACAGCACUUUUGUAUCUGCAUAAACAAAAGCCCACAGAAAAGCACAGUUAAGCCCUGUGGAUGGAAGGAGAAGCAGAGCCAACUGACUGGUACCUCUGUCUUUAAUGAAAUCCACUGUGCAGGAGGAGAGUGAUGCCAAGCUUUUUCAAAGACUUGUUGGAGGACAUAGGGACAUCAUAGAAAUAUCCUGGUGAAGAGGAGUCCCAGCAAAGGGCAGCAUGGAUGGCACAAAGGAAGGAGACCACUUCUUUUAGAAACAGAGACUAUCUUCAGUUGGAAGGGACCCACAAUGGUGCUCAUGCAUGAAGUCUGUGAUGACAUAGAAUAGCCAAAAAUAUGAAAAAUGGACCGGAAAAGAAGUCAAGGCAGGCUCCAACCAACAUGAUGUGGGUUUGACCACUUUAAGAAAGGUGUAACCAUUUCCUCAUGACAGAAGGAAUCACAGGGGAAGUGAAACAAUGCAUG